UACGGGGGGGGCAAGCGUUGUUCGGAAUUACUGGGCGUAAAGGGCGCGUAGGCGGCCUUCUAAGUCGAACGUGAAAUCCCCGAGCUCAACUCGGGAACUGCGUCCGAUACUGGCGGGCUUGAAUCCGGGAGAGGGAUGCGGAAUUCCAGGUGUAGCGGUGAAAUGCGUAGAUAUCUGGAGGAACACCGGUGGCGAAGGCGGCAUCCUGGACCGGCAUUGACGCUGAGGCGCGAAAGCUAGGGGAGCAAACGGGG
rnacentral:rRNA from 1 species